UGGGGAAUAUUGGACAAUGGGCGAAAGCCUGAUCCAGCCAUGCCGCGUGUGUGAAGAAGGUCUUCGGAUUGUAAAGCACUUUAAGUUGGGAGGAAGGGCAGUAAGCGAAUACCUUGCUGUUUUGACGUUACCGACAGAAUAAGCACCGGCUAACUCUGUGCCAGCAGCCGCGGUAAUACAGAGGGUGCAAGCGUUAAUCGGAAUUACUGGGCGUAAAGCGCGCGUAGGUGGUUCGUUAAGUUGAAUGUGAAAGCCCCGGGCUCAACCUGGGAACUGCAUCCAAAACUGGCGAGCUAGAGUAGGGCAGAGGGUGGUGGAAUUUCCGGUGUAGCGGUGAAAUGCGUAGAGAUAGGAAGGAACACCAGUGGCGAAGGCGACCACCUGGGCUCAUACUGACACUGAGGUGCGAAAGCGUGGGGAGCAAACAGG
rnacentral:rRNA from 1 species